rnacentral:rRNA from 1 species
AGUAGUUUGAUCCUGGCUCAGGACGAACGCUGGCGGCGUGCUUAACACAUGCAAGUCGAACGGAAAGGCCCUGCUUUUGUGGGGUGCUCGAGUGGCGAACGGGUGAGUAACACGUGAGUAACCUGCCCUUGACUUUGGGGAUAACUUCAGGGAAACUGGGGCUAAUACCGGAUAGGAGCUCCUGCUGCAUGGUGGGGGUUGGAAAGUUUCGGCGGUUGGGGAUGGACUCGCGGCUUAUCAGCUUGUUGGUGGGGUAGUGGCUUACCAAGGCUUUGACGGGUAGCCGGCCUGAGAGGGUGACCGGCCACAUUGGGACUGAGAUACGGCCCAGACGUCCUACGGGAGGCAGCAGUGGGGAAUAUUGCACAAUGGGCGGAAGCCUGAUGCAGCAACGCCGCGUGCGGGAUGACGGCCUUCGGGUUGUAAACCGCUUUCGCCUGUGACGAAGCGUGAGUGACGGUAAUGGGUAAAGAAGCACCGGCUAACUACGUG